GGGAUAGCCCGGGGAAACCCGGAUUAAUACCGCAUGAUGUCGAAAGACCAAAGUAGGGGACCGCAAGGCCCUACACUCUAAGAUGAGCCUAUGUCUGAUUAGCUAGUUGGCGGGGUAAUAGCCCACCAAGGCCACGACGGGUAGCUGGCGUGAGAGCGCGACCAGCCACACCGGGACUGAGAUACGGCCCGGACUCCUACGGGAGGCAGCAGUAGGGAAUAUUGGUCAAUGGACGAAAGUCUGAACCAGCGAUGCCGCGUGAGGGACGAAGGUCUUCGGAUUGUAAACCUCUGUUGUCAGGGAAGAAGCCGUAAAUUCGGUGACGGUACCUGACGAGGAAGCCCCGGCUAACUACGUGCCAGCAGCCGCGGUGAUACGUAGGGGGCGAGCGUUAUCCGGAUUCACUGGGCGUAAAGGGCGUGUAGGCGGUUUCGUAAGUCGGAUGUGAAAGCUCGGGGCUCAACCCCCGGAAGUGCACCCGAUACUGCGAUGACUUGAGGACGGUAGAGGUAGAUAGAACUAGCGGUGUAGCGGUGGAAUGCGCAGAUAUCGCUAGGAAUGCCGGUGGCGAAGGCGAUCUACUGGGCCGUUCCUGACGCUGAGGCGCGAAAGCGUGGGUAGCAAACCGGAUUAGAUACCCCGGGUAGUCCACGCCGUAAACGGUGGAUACUAGGUGUGGGUCCCUUGAGGAUCCGUGCCGGAGCUAACGCAUUAAGUAUCCCGCCUGGGGAGUACGGCCGCAAGGCUAAAACUCAAAGGAAUUGACGGGGGCCCGCACAAGCGGCGGAGCGCGUGGCUUAAUUCGAUGCAAAGCGCAGAACCUCACCAGGUUUUGACAUGCUAGUGGUAAGACGUAGAGAUACGAAUGACCCUUCGGGGAGCUAGCACAGGUGCUGCAUGGCUGUCGUCAGCUCGUGCCGUGAGGUGUUGGGUUAAGUCCCGCAACGAGCGCAACCCGCGUCCUCUUGUUGCCAGCGCAUAAUGGCGGGGACUCAAGGGAGACUGCCGGUGACAAACCGGAGGAAGGAGCGGAUGACGUCAAGUCCUCAUGGCCCUUACAACCUGGGCUGCACACGCGCUACAAUGGCCAGUACAGACCGUCCCGACACCGUAAGGUGG
rnacentral:rRNA from 1 species